AUUUCAUAUUAGCUAGUUUACACUUUGAAAUGCUUUUGUGAGGAGUAUUCUUACUUUGAAUUUCUGUGAUAUAUGUUCUGUUAUUUUGUAUUCCACUCAAAAUACUGUUCUUCUUGUGACUUAAAUAUUAUUUAAUUAUCCGUCCAACAUGAUUAAGUUCGAAAGAACUGGAUUUACUACAUACAGGCUGAACCCAAUCAUUCCCCAGUCCACAGCAUCCUCCAUGAGCCCUGACUCACAGACUGGGAUUAUAGGCAGCAGUACCGCAUCAUCUCCAUACAAUGAUACCAUCACAUCGCCUCCCCCCUACUCCCCACACACCAGUAUGACAUCACCCAUUCCCACCGUACCAUCCAACACUGACUAUGCAGGAGAUUAUGGAUUCCAAAUAUCAUUUUCACAGCCAUCAAAAGAAACAAAAUCAACUACAUGGACAUACUCGGAAUCAUUGAAGAAGCUCUAUGUCAGAAUGGCUACAACUUGCCCUGUGAGGUUUAAGAGUCAACGCCAACCACCCGCAGGCUGCAUAAUUAGAGCAAUGCCCAUUUUUAUGAAACCUGAACAUGUGCAAGAGCCAGUUAAAAGAUGCCCAAACCAUGCCACAUCAAAAGAUUGGUAGCAAAGUUUCUUAUGGAACUGAGAUUACUACAAUUGUCCCUGGAAAGAAGCGCAAGUUAGAUGACGAUGAAGACUCUUACACACUCACAGUACGUGGAAAGGAAAACUUUGAAAUUCUAUGUAAACUGCGUGACUCCCUUGAGCUUUCCUCAAUGGUUCCACAGAAUCAGGUGGAUCGCUACAAGCAGCAGCAGGUGGAGGUUAAUAGACAGUGGCUGUCUGUAGUUCUGGCCCGUGAAAGCAAAAAUAAACUGAUGAAGAGAAAAACCAAGCCUGGCAAAGUUAUUAAACGGCCUGCUUGAUAUAGAUCUUGUGGUGCCCUUGUGUUUGGGAGCAGACCUGAUGUGGAACCAGUUCGGUUUUUAUGACAGAUUAUUGGCACGCUUCUGUAGGACUUCUUUCGUGCUCAGAUAAUGUCAUUUUGCGAAAGUGUGGCAUUUCAGUUUAUGAAGCCAAAUAUCCAAUCAUAUUCAAAAAUUGAUUUUGAUAGAGAUAUUAUUUCUCUGUUUACAAUGUGUUCAUAUUUAUGCAAUUACUGAAUUGCUUUAUCUAUUGAUGUUUGAAUAUUAUUAUGCAUAACUUAUUUGGAUAUGUGAAUCUUCUGUAAAGAGCUCCUUUUUUUUUUUUGCUUCGUAAAAGGAUCUGGGACUCUAUAGUUGCAAUUCAGAAUUAUUAUUUUUUAUUCAUAUAUUUGUUGUUGUCAUAACAUAAGUAUUUAUGGUAACUACAUCCGUCCUUUUUAUUAGUGCUGAAUACUUAUUAUUUAGUUAUUCACUUGUAAAUAUUUUAUUUAAAGUUUUUCAGCAUUGUAAUUAUUUUGUUUCUACCUUCAAGAUACUUCAGAGAUUUAUUGUGCUAGAAUAUUGCAAUUUCUUUGAAAAAUAUCAUAUUAAGUCAGGAAUAAAUGAUCACUGCAUGGAAAACUAUAUUUGUAUAUGAAAUAAAAUUCUUAAGAAUU
rnacentral:misc_RNA from 1 species